rnacentral:rRNA from 1 species
CAACCUGCCGUCUACUCUUGGACAGCCUUCUGAAAGGAAGAUUAAUACAAGAUGGCAUCAUGAGUCCGCAUGUUCACAUGAUUAAAGGUAUUCCGGUAGACGAUGGGGAUGCGUUCCAUUAGAUAGUAGGCGGGGUAACGGCCCACCUAGUCUUCGAUGGAUAGGGGUUCUGAGAGGAAGGCCCCCACAUUGGAACUGAGACACGGUCCAA